UACGGAGGGUGCAAGCGUUAAUCGGAAUUACUGGGCGUAAAGCGAGUGUAGGCGGCAACGUAAGUCGGAUGUGAAAUCCCUGGGCUCAACCUGGGAAUGGCAUUCGAAACUGCGUAGCUAGAGUUUGACAGAGGGAUGUGGAAUUCCGGGUGUAGCGGUGAAAUGCGUAGAUAUCCGGAGGAACACCAGUGGCGAAGGCGGCAUCCUGGGUCAGAACUGACGCUGAGGCUCGAAAGCGUGGGGAGCAAACAGG
rnacentral:rRNA from 1 species